rnacentral:lncRNA from 1 species
UGAAAUAAACUACUCAAGAGCUAUAAGAAAAAUGAGAACUCAAGGCUAUGUCAUAACAAGUAUUCAAAAUGAUUUUCAUAUUCAGGAGAUUUAAGGUGUUAAAACGAUACCGAUCUUGUGAACUUUUCCCAAGUCUCUACAAACCAACCUCAAAUUAUUCUAUAGCCUAAAACUUUCAACAAAAAUGCAAUUUUUUUUUAGAAAGAAAACAAAAACAAAACAAAA